rnacentral:rRNA from 1 species
GCAUAUCAAUAAGCGGAGGAAAAGAAAAUAACAAUGAUUCCCCUAGUAACUGCGAGUGAAGAGGGACAAGCUCAAAUUUUAAAUCUGUCGGGUUCUACCUGACCGAGUUGUAAUUUGAAGAGGCGUUUUCUGUGUUUCUGAUCAGUCCAAGUCCUUUGGGAUAAGGCAUCACGGAGGGUGAGAAUCCCGUUCGGUUGAUCAGAUUCGCUUUACGAUACGUCAUCAAAGAGUCAAGUUGUUUGGGAUUGCAGCUUAAAAUGGGAGGUAAAUUUCUCCUGAGGCUAAAUAACGGCGAGAGACCGAUAGCGAACAAGUACCGUGAGGGAAAGAUGAAAAGAACUUUGAAAAGAGAGUUAAAUAGUACGUGAAAUUGUUGAAAGGGAAACGAUUGAAGCCAGUCGUACCUGCGGGUAAUCAGCCUUUUGGGCAUGAUUCUGUGGAGCGUGAGGAGUUAAACGCCUUCAUGCCUGCAUAUUCGUGUACUUUGGGUGUACUUGCCUGUGUGGUUAGUUAACAUCAAUUUUGGUUAUCAUAAAAUGGCUGGAGGAAUGUAGCUUCGAUUUCGAUUGAAGUGUUAUAGCCUUCGGCAGGUGUGAUGAUCGGGAUUGAGGAUUGCAACGGAUACCCUUCGGGGCUACCUGUCUGAUCUCUGAUCGUUGCUCUGGUGCCGAAAGCGUGCUUACGGUUAUCAAAGUCGAUGGUUAAUAGGUUAGAACGGGUUAAAUUCGUUAAGGAUGUUGACGUA